rnacentral:lncRNA from 1 species
CCGGAAGCAUGGCUGGGGAGGCCUCAGGAACUUAAAAUCAUGGCAGAAGGGCGAAGGGGAAUCAAGCACCUUCUUCACAUGGUGGCAGGUAAGAGAGAGAGCAAAGGGGGAAAUGCCACACCUUUCUUCUUUUUCUUUUCUUUUUUUUUGAGACGGAAUCUCGCUCUGUCACCAUGCUGGAGUGCAGUGGUGUAAUCUCGGCUCACUGCAAGCUCCACCUCCCAGGUUCAAGCAUUUCUCCUGCCUCAGCCUCCUAAGUAGCUGGGACUACAGGCAUGCGCCACCACACCCAACUAAUUUUUGUAUUUUUAGUAGAGACAGGGUUUCACCAUGUUGGCCAGGCUGGUCUCGGUCUCUUGACCUUGUGAUCCACCUGCCUUGGCCUCCCAAAGUGCUGGGAUUACAGACACGAGCCACCACGCCCGGCAGUGCCACACACAUUCAAACAACCAGAUCUCAUGAGAACUCACUCACUAUCCCAAGAACAGCAGUCAUCCCCCAGAAAGUAAGGGCUGGGGAGAGCAGAAUUGCUUGGCAUACUCAAGAGAGAAGAAUUUGGAUGGGAUGAUAAGGAUGAUCCAGGGUGGAGGGUUGAGGAGAAGAGAUGGAGGUGUAAGGAAGGAGAAGCAAGGAACCACUGAGAAGGUGAGAGGAUGGGGACCACAUGGGGUGACAUGGUGAGGGGCUGCCACAGACGGAGGCAUGGCUGGAAUUUAUGAAUGAUCAUGUCUACAUUUCUACUUGAAGCAGUGUGUGAAACAAGGAGUAAAUCCCUCCUUUACCCAUUGCACGAACCCAAAGGUUUCUGUAAGCUCUAAUAUACUCACAAAAAAAAUGUUUUUGAAUUAGAGUUUGUGG